UCUUUGGAGUUGUGAGUGGUCAUGAGAUCCUGGACGAGCCCCCAAAUGAAAGACCAGUGGGGUGGGGAAGACCCCCACUCAAAUCUCAAGACGACGCAAACCCCAAGAACUCAAGAGAAACU
rnacentral:pre_miRNA from 14 species